GGCUAUAGCCAAGCGGUAAGGCAACGGACUUUGACUCCGUCACUCGUUGGUUCGAAUCAUUCAUGGCGG
rnacentral:tRNA from 1 species